rnacentral:rRNA from 1 species
CCCGCAACGAGCGCCACCCCUCUCGUUGGUUACCAUCAUUAAUUUGGGGACUCUCGCGAGUCUGCAUGAAACGAGCAGGAUGGGGGGGGGGAAGACGUCAAGUCAUCCUGCCCCUUAUGGACUGGGCUACCCCCGUGCUACAAUGGGAAGUACAAAGAGUCGCAAGCCAGCGAUGGUUAGCCAAUCUCAAAAAGCUUCUCUCAGUUCGGAUUGGAGUCUGCAACUCGACUCCAUGAAGUUGGAAUCACUAGUAAUCGCGAAUCAGCAAUGUCGCGGUGAAUACGUUCUCGGGUCUUGUACACACCGCCCGUCACACCCCGAGAGUUGGUUGCACCUGAAGUAGCAGGCCUAACCCUUCGGGGAGGGAUGUUCCUAAGGUGUGAUUAGCGAUUGGGGUGAAGUCGUAACAAGGUAGCCG